rnacentral:lncRNA from 12 species
GGGGGGCCCGACGCGCCGACCCCUCGGCCCAGAAGGCCCCGAACGGUGCUAUUAACGGUCCCCCAGAUCCCUGCUGUGGCCGUGACCUUCCAACUGGCGGGCGGCGCAACUGCGCGUCGGACGCAACAGGCACGACCGGCGUGCCAUCGGGGCGAGACGCUCCGGCGACAGCAGUGGGCGGCGCACGCCGCCUCUCCUUUCUUUAACCCUUCUCCACGCUUAGUCCCACCCUCACCGGAAGUGGAGCCGCCUUACGUCACGCCACUUCCGGCCCGCACGCCCGUCGCCGGCGGGAGCGAGCACGCUGGCGCGCGGCAACCUUGUUCCCGCCUCCUGAGCCCCGGCGCCACUCACCUUCGGCGGUCGCGGAGCGUGACGUGCGUGCGCGCCCCCGGCCGUGCGUCGGGGCCGAGGGGAAAGGCCGAGAGAGCGAGGCGAGAAGGAGGGGUUGUGGAGGUUAGGGCCCAACCAGCGAGUGCCGUCGCCCUCCCUCCUCCUGACGAGGCUCGGAGAGGGAAGGGGAGGAGCGAGCCGGGCCGGCCGCGCACACCAGGAGCCUCCUCGUGGAGGGGGGGGAGCGGAGGAAAGGGGAGCUCCGCCACCUCUGCUGGCAGCGGCGGCGGCGGCGGCGGCGGCGGCGGCGGCGAAGGAAGAAGAAAGUCAGGGCCCGUGCCCGCCGCCCCAGGCGCAGAAACCGCCCCCCGCCCGCACCUCCCCGGAAACAGCCCCCCGCCCAGCCCCGCACACUCGUGCCCCAGCCGGAGCCGCAGCCCGGUCGCCCCCGCCUCGCCCCGCCCCGCCCCGCCGCCCGUCCCCGCGGGCGGCCGAGUGCGCGAGGCCCGAGGCCGGGAGUUGUUGUCAGGCCCAGGCCACUUCCGAGGCGCCCGCCGGGUGUCGCCGCCACCACAGGAGGACGACGUCGACGCGGAGGAGGCGGCGGCGGAGGCGUGUUGUUGUCUCGCCCACUCCCCUCCCCUGAACUCGCGCCCCACGUCAGGGCGCGAUGGAGUGAAGCGGGGACGAAGGUGGUACUUCCGCGUUGCGCUGCCCGAGCCGAGAGCGCGGCCGACGCCGCUCCCCCGCCCCCGGGGGCACUUGGAGGACUCCGGACUCCCCCGCAGGUCAGCGCCCGGCGCCUCUGGGGUGUGUGCGGCGGAGGCCGGGACGGCGAGCAGGACCGCGAGCUGGGCCGCCGGGGCUCCCGCUCCCCUCGGGCCCGAGGCCGCCGCACUCCCGACCGCGACCCGGACCCCGAGGACCCGAGUCCUGACCCGGAUUAUCGUGGCGCGGCUCGCGGCCGGCCCUGGUGCUCGGUGUCCCUCCGCCGCAGUUCCCGUUUCCGGCGGCGGCGAUGGCCAGGAUCUGACCCGGGAGGAGGCCGCACCCGCGCCGCGC